rnacentral:rRNA from 1 species
AUUGAACGCUGGCGGCAGGCCUAACACAUGCAAGUCGAGCGAGCGGCGGACGGGUGAGUAAUGUAUGGGGACUGCCCGAUAGAGGGGGAUAACUACUGGAAACGGUGGCUAAUACCGCAUACUAUCGGAUAACCCAUAUGGGAUUAGCUAGUAGGUGGGGUAAAGGCUAACCUAGGCGACGAUCCCUAGCUGGUCUGAGAGGAUGAUAAGGCACACUGGGACUGAUACAUGGCCGAGACUCCUACGGGGGCAGCGCUGGGUAACAUUGGUAAAUGGGAGCAAGCCUGAUGCAGCCCACCCGCGUGUAAGAAGAAGGUCUUAGGUUUGUAAAGUACUUUCAUCGGGUAGGCGGUACCCGCACAAGAAGCACCGGCUAACUCCGUGCCAGCCGCCGCGGUAAUAC